rnacentral:rRNA from 1 species
GACGAACGCUGGCGGCGUGCCUAAUACAUGCAAGUCGAGCGGACUUGAUGAAGUGCUUGCACUUCUGAUGGUUAGCGGCGGACGGGUGAGUAACACGUAGGUAACCUGCCUAUAAGACUGGGAUAACAUUCGGAAACGAAUGCUAAUACCGGAUACGCGAAUUGGUCGCAUGGCCGAAUCGGGAAAGACGGAGCAAUCUGUCACUUAUAGAUGGACCUGCGGCGCAUUAGCUAGUUGGUGAGGUAACGGCUCACCAAGGCGACGAUGCGUAGCCGACCUGGGAGGGUGAUCGGCCAAACUGGGACUGAGACACGGCCCAGACUCCUACGGGAGGCAGCAGUAGGGAAUCUUCCGCAAUGGACGAAAGUCUGACGGAGCAACGCCGCGUGAGUGAUGAAGGUUUUCGGAUCGUAAAGCUCUGUUGCCAGGGAAGAACGCUUGGGAGAGUAACUGCUCUCAAGGUGACGGUACCUGAGAAGAAAGCCCCGGCUAACUACGUGCCAGCCGCCGCGGUAA